rnacentral:snRNA from 1 species
GGAUGUGAUGGUGAUCUGGCAGUGACAUCUGUCACUCCACUGACUGCCAGGGUUGAUUUGGCUGAUCUGGCUGGUUAGGUGGAUGUCUCACUCCUACCUCACUGUUCCAUGUGUCUCUCCUGAAGCUGUGCACUUGGUAGACAAGUUCAAUCUUCCCCAAUAGAGGGGGAGUGUUUUUCAGACAAAGGUAGACAAGUAGUCGCAUUCCUCUGCUAGAACCUCCAAACAAGAACCCGGCACUCUUCCUCAUCUGCUCACGGGCACUCCCCUCUCUGAGUGCAAUCUGUAGAGAGUUCCAUGGGCCUGACCUCGGGAGUCAAGGGAUGCUCAUCCUCAUGACCUCC